CUGUAGCUGUCGCAUCCCUGGCUUCUAAUCCUCCUCUGGCUCUGGCUCCGGCGAUUGCUGUUGUUCUUCAGUCCUGCUCAUUCCUGAGAGCCUCUCAAGGCUAUCUGGGGUCAGGUCUUUCUGUGCCUGUACCCUGAGAAAUAGCUCCCUUCGCUCACUUUGGAACCAAGUCUGAGCCAAAUAGUUGCUUACAAGUAGUGGGCCUUGCUCUGCCGGGUCUGGGGGUGUGUGUGUGUGUGAGACUGGUAGGUACUUUAUAGCAGUUUUAAAAAUAGGAAGUGACUGUUUUAUGGCUUCAUAAUUAUAUUUUUAAUGUGCCAGCUUAUCUACUUAAGAUCCUGCCAGAGAGACAGAUGGGGGCGAAGUGGAGCGGAGAACACCGCGAUGCCCCUGCUGUGCUGGCACCGUGGACCCCUCCUGUUGGCUGGGCGCCUUUCCACUGGGCCUCUGGUGAGGCCGCCUGCCAUCCCUGUCUCGAUGGGACUUACGUUUUGUUUUUGUCCUUGAAGGACAGUUUUGCUGGUGACACACAGCGAGGCGGACAGCGCCCUUCUUGGGUGCUGCAUGUGCCUCCCGGCGGCCUGGGUUUGGAGGAGCCAACACCAGUCCUGCUCUCUUUGGGUGCCCAGGCUUCUCUCUCGGCCCAGGUCAGCCUGAUACAGUCUCACGGGCACCCUUGGGUGGUGUCACCGGCUGCCAUUCGUCAUCCUUCCAAACGUGGAGUCUCAUCCAGAACAGCCUCCUGGGCGUCUCCAGUGUGACUCCUGCAUCCUGUCCUCUUGGGAAGGAUCUUGCCAAGAUGCCUGGGCCGCCAUCAAACUGCAAUCCCCCUGCCUCAGCCUCCUGAGAAACUGAUCCUGCCUGUGCAUUAUCACACCUUGCAUGUUGCUUCUGAUGGCAUCUUGUCCCUUUGUCACUUUCCAGGACUCUUCAUUGUAUCUGUAAAUGCAUGGAUCACAUGACCACAGGUUCUAUGUUGGGGGCGGCCCACAGCAGGGCUGUGGAUGUUCUUCUUGCUGACCUUACACACGGUGCCUGGCUUCCCUGUGUUGUGGGCGCCUUGAAGUGGGACCAGCUUUCUACAGUGGCAUCCUCUAAGGCACCUGCGGGCGGACCCCUCCAGGGAUUGUGUUUGCUUCUGCCGCACCUGGAGCUGGCUGCUUUGGAACAGUGUGCAUUUGUGUGUGCAUGCAUGCGUGACUUGUGGUUAGAAAUUGAGUUAUUUUGUCCCUUUGCUUCGGGCUGAGGCUCG
rnacentral:lncRNA from 1 species